ACGCUAGCUAUAGGCUUAACACAUGCAAGUCGAGGGGAAACGGCAUUAUGUGCUUGCACAUUUUGGACGUCGACCGGCGCACGGGUGAGUAUCGCGUAUCCAACCUUCCCUCCACUCGGGGAUACCCCGUUGAAAGACGGCCUAAUACCCGAUGUUGUCCACAUAUGGCAUCUGACGUGGACCAAAGAUUCAUCGGUGGAGGAUGGGGAUGCGUCUGAUUAGCUUGUUGGUGCGGGUAACGGCCCACCAAGGCUACGAUCAGUAGGGGUUCUGAGAGGAAGGUCCCCCACAUUGGAACUGAGACACGGUCCAAACUCCUACGGGAGGCAGCAGUGAGGAAUAUUGGUCAAUGGACGUAAGUCUGAACCAGCCAAGUAGCGUGCAGGAUUGACGGCCCUAUGGGUUGUAAACUGCUUUUGUUGGGGAGUAAAGUGAGGCACGCGUGCCUUUUUGCAUUUACCCUUCGAAUAAGGACCGGCUAAUUCCGUGCCAGCAGCCGCGGUAAUACGGAAGGUCCAGGCGUUAUCCGGGUUUAUUGGGUUUAAAGGGAGUGUAGGCGGUCUGUUAAGCGUGUUGUGAAAUUUAGGUGCUCAACAUCUACCUUGCAGCGCGAACUGGCGGACUUGAGUGCACGCAACGUAUGCGGAAUUCAUGGUGUAGCGGUGAAAUGCUUAGAUAUCAUGACGAACUCCGAUUGCGAAGGCAGCGUACGGGAGUGUUACUGACGCUUAAGCUCGAAGGUGCGGGUAUCGAACAGGAUUAGAUACCCUGGUAGUCCGCACGGUAAACGAUGGAUGCCCGCUGUUAGCGCCUGGCGUUAGCGGCUAAGCGAAAGCAUUAAGCAUCCCACCUGGGGAGUACGCCGGCAACGGUGAAACUCAAAGGAAUUGACGGGGGCCCGCACAAGC
rnacentral:rRNA from 1 species